GAUGAACGCUGGCGGCGUGCCUAAUACAUGCAAGUCGAGCGAACGGACGAGAAGCUUGCUUCUCUGAUGUUAGCGGCGGACGGGUGAGUAACACGUGGAUAACCUACCUAUAAGACUGGGAUAACUUCGGGAAACCGGAGCUAAUACCGGAUAAUAUUUUGAACCGCAUGGUUCAAAAGUGAAAGACGGUCUUGCGGUCACUUAUAGAUGGAUCCGCGCUGCAUUAGCUAGUUGGUAAGGUAACGGCUUACCAAGGCAACGAUGCAUAGCCGAACGGAGAGGGGGGUAGGCCGCCCGGGAAGUGAGCCACGGUCCAGGGGCCUACGGGAGGCAGCAGUAGGGCAUCUUCCGCAAUGGGCGGGAGCCUGACGGAGCGACGCCGCGUGAGUGAUGAAGGUCUUCGGAUCGUAAAGCUCUGUUAUUAGGGAAGAACAUCUUUGUAAGUAGCUGUACACAUCUUGACGGUAACUAGUAAAAAAGCCACGGCUAACUACGUG
rnacentral:rRNA from 1 species